CGGAUACAGUGAUGAUGGCAUAGUUCAGCAGAAUAUCCUGUGAUGAACACUUCUAUCCUUCGCCCCUAUCUGAUGUAUCUG
ensembl:snoRNA